rnacentral:rRNA from 1 species
UACGUAGGAGGCGAGCGUUGUCCGGAAUUAUUGGGCGUAAAGCGCGCGCAGGCGGCCUUUUAAGUCUGAUGUGAAAGCCCACGGCUCAACCGUGGAAGGUCAUUGGAAACUGAAAGGCUUGAGUACAGAAGAGGAAAGCGGAAUUCCACGUGUAGCGGUGAAAUGCGUAGAGAUGUGGAGGAACACCAGUGGCGAAGGCGGCUUUCUGGUCCGAUACUGACGCUGAGGCGCGAAAGCGUGGGGAGCAAACAGG